ACAAGGUGUUCUGUAAUGUGAACGAUAUCUAGUGGUUGGCGAUGUCUUCUACAUCUAGAUGUAGUCCUGAGUGCCGGGUAUAAAAGUUGUGACGCGUAAGAAGCGUCUCACACGUCCCUUCUCGUUUAUCUUUCAACUUCAGUGGCAUUGUUGCCUCCAUUUGAUUGAGACUAUACUCUGUUUGCUAGGUACCCUCUCGGAAAUUAAAACAGAUCUUUAUUUUACUAUCAAUACUAUCAAUACCACACAAAUACUAUCGAUACCACAAAAUACUAUCGUCUGAGUUUCUUGAUUUUUUCGGAAUUUUUUUUUUUUUUUUUUUUUUUUUUUUUAANUUUUUUUUUUUUUUUUUUUUUUCAUUAAGACCAGUUAACUGCCCAAAUGUUACACUGAACGGCUCACCAAUUCCACAAAGUACCUGUGUGAACUAUCUCGGCUUGCAUCUCGACCGCAGAUUAACAUGGAAAAACCACAUUAAAGCAAAAAGUCAACAACUUAGACUUAAAACACUAAAAUUGUCCUGGUUGAUAAGUCGAAAAUCAGAAACCACUUUGGAAAACAAAAUUCGCCUCUACAAAUCCAUACUGAAACUGAAAAAAUUAUUUUUCUUUUCUCUCUCUCUUUAUAUUUACAAUCUCUUUUUUUUUUCUAGACGUUGCUAUGCAAUGACUGCACCAUCAAGUGGCCAUGCGACACCAAGCAAAAGCCUGUUACGCGAGGAACCCAGGAGAACGCAGCCCUCCUCCCGCCCAAAAAAACAAUGAAUGCAAAAUGGAUCCAUGCAGGAGAUUGCUUUUAGUGGGAUUGGCGGCUCUUGCAUGAUCGGAGGAGGAGGAGAAUCAACAAAAUAAGCGCCGACAGCUUUGAUAAAACCCAUAUCUGCAGGAAAGAAACCAGAACGGUCGUUUGUCUAUACAUUUGAGUAUUAUAACUCAUAUAAAUAUGUGUACAUUAAUGGAAACCCAUGAAACGAUACCCUUUGCAUAUUCCGCAGUUUGAAAAUAUGACAGAGAAUUUGCAUAUGGCUGAGAAUAACAUCUGCAGACUUCUUUAUUUUGCGCCCGUUGCAAAGUUGUAAAACGGCGCCUCCAAGCUCCCUUCCUAUUCAACAAUGGCUAGUUUCG
rnacentral:lncRNA from 1 species